UACGUAGGGAGCGAGCGUUGUCCGGAUUCAUUGGGCGUAAAGAGCUCGUAGGCGGCUUGGCAAGUCGGAUGUGAAAACUCCAGGCUCAACCUGGAGCCGCCAUUCGAUACUGCUAUGGCUAGAGUCCGGUAGGGGAGUGUGGAAUUCCUGGUGUAGCGGUGGAAUGCGCAGAUAUCAGGAGGAACACCGAUGGCGAAGGCAGGUCUCUGGGCCAUUACUGACACUGAGAAGCGAGAGCAUGGGGAGCGAACAGG
rnacentral:rRNA from 1 species